rnacentral:rRNA from 1 species
GAUGAACGCUAGCGGGAGGCCUAACACAUGCAAGCCGAGCGGUAGAGUCUCUUCGGAACCUUGAGGGCGGCGCACGGGUGCGUAACACGUGUGCAACCUACCUUUAUCUGGGGGAUAGCCUUUCGAAAGGAAGAUUAAUACCCCAUACUAUAAUGAUUGGCAUCAAUUAUUAUUGAAAACUCCGGUGGAUAGAGAUGGGCACGCGCAAGAUUAGAUAGUUGGUGAGGUAACGGCUCACCAAGUCAAUGAUCUUUAGGGGUCCUGAGAGGGAGAUCCCCCACAGGGGUACUGGGACACCGACCAGACGACUACGGGACGCAGCAGUGAGGAAUAUGAGACAAUGGGUGAGAGUCUGAGCCAGCCAGCCAGCGUGAAGGAUGACGGUCCUAUGGAUGGUAAACAUCUUUUGGACAGGGAUAACCCUACCCUCGGGAAGGUAGCUGAAGGUACUGUACGAAUAAGCACCGGCUAACUCCGUG